AUUGAACGCUGGCGGCAGGCCUAACACAUGCAAGUCGAGCGGAGCGGCGGACGGGUGAGUAAUGCCUAGGAAUCUGCCUGGUAGUGGGGGAUAACGUCCGGAAACGGGUGCUAAUACCGCAUACUAUCAGAUGAGCCUAGGUCGGAGUAGCUAGUUGGUGGGGUAACGGCCUACCAAGACGACGAUCCGUAACUGGUCUGAGCGGAUGAUCAGGCACACUGGAGCUGAAGCACGGUCCACACUCCAACGUGAGGCCGACGUGGUGAAUAUUGGACAAUUGGCGAAAGCCGGACCCAGCCAUGCCGCGUUUGUGAAGAAGGUCGUCGGAUUUGAAAGCACUUAAAGAUGGUAGGCGUUACCAACAGAAUAAGCACCGGCUAACUUCGUGCCAGCAGCCGCGGUAAUUC
rnacentral:rRNA from 1 species